GCGAGCAGGUGCGAAAGCAGGUCAUAGUGAUCCGGUGGUUCUGAAUGGAAGGGCCAUCGCUCAACGGAUAAAAGGUACUCCGGGGAUAACAGGCUGAUACCGCCCAAGAGUUCAUAUCGACGGCGGUGUUUGGCACCUCGAUGUCGGCUCAUCACAUCCUGGGGCUGAAGUAGGUCCCAAGGGUAUGGCUGUUCGCCAUUUAAAGUGGUACGCGAGCUGGGUUUAGAACGUCGUGAGACAGUUCGGUCCCUAUCUGCCGUGGGCGCUGGAGAACUGAGGGGGGCUGCUCCUAGUACGAGAGGACCGGAGUGGACGCAUCACUGGUGUUCGGGUUGUCAUGCCAAUGGCACUGCCCGGUAGCUAAAUGCGGAAGAGAUAAGUGCUGAAAGCAUCUAAGCACGAAACUUGCCCCGAGAUGAGUUCUCCCUGAGACUUUAGGUCUCCUGAAGGAACGUUGAAGACGACGACGUUGAUAGGCCGGGUGUGUAAGCGCAGCGAUGCGUUGAGCUAACCGGUACUAAUGAACCGUGAGGCUUAACCUUACAACGCCGAAG
rnacentral:rRNA from 1 species